AGUGAACGCUGGCGGUAGGCCUAACACAUGCAAGUCGAACGGCAGCACAGUAAGAGCUUGCUCUUACGGGUGGCGAGUGGCGGACGGGUGAGGAAUACAUCGGAAUCUACUUUUUCGUGGGGGAUAACGUAGGGAAACUUACGCUAAUACCGCAUACGACCUACGGGUGAAAGCAGGGGAUCUUCGGACCUUGCGCGAUUGAAUGAGCCGAUGUCGGAUUAGCUAGUUGGCGGGGUAAAGGCCCACCAAGGCGACGAUCCGUAGCUGGUCUGAGAGGAUGAUCCGCCACACUGGAACUGAGACACGGUCCAGACUCCUACGGGAGGCAGCAGUGGGGAAUAUUGGACAAUGGGCGCAAGCCUGAUCCAGCCAUACCGCGUGGGUGAAGAAGGCCUUCGGGUUGUAAAGCCCUUUUGUUGGGAAAGAAAAGCAGCAGGUUAAUACCCCGCUGUUCUGACGGUACCCAGAGAAUAAGCACCGGCUAACUUCGUG
rnacentral:rRNA from 1 species